GGGUUGUGAGGUUAAGCGACUAAGCGUACACGGUGGAUGCCCUGGCAGUCAGAGGCGAUGAAGGACGUGCUAAUCUGCGAUAAGCGUCGGUAAGGUGAUAUGAACCGUUAUAACCGGCGAUUUCCGAAUGGGGAAACCCAGUGUGAUUCGUCACACUAUCAUUACGUGAAUACAUAGCGUAAUGAAGCGAACCGGGGGAACUGAAACAUCUAAGUACCCCGAGGAAAAGAAAUCAACCGAGAUUCCCCCAGUAGCGGCGAGCGAACGGGGAGCAGCCCAGAGUCUGAAUCAGCUUGUGUGUUAGUGGAACGGUCUGGAAAGUCCGACGGUACAGGGUGAUAGUCCCGUACACCAAAAUGCACAGGUUGUGAACUCGAAGAGUAGGGCGGGACACGUGGUAUCCUGUCUGAAUAUGGGGGGACCAUCCUCCAAGGCUAAAUACUCCUGACUGACCGAUAGUGAACCAGUACCGUGAGGGAAAGGCGAAAAGAACCCCGGCGAGGGGAGUGAAAAAGAACCUGAAACCGUGUACGUACAAGCAGUGGGAGCAUCCUUUUGGGUGUGACUGCGUACCUUUUGUAUAAUGGGUCAGCGACUUAUAUUCUGUAGCAAGGUUAACCGUAUAGGGGAGCCGAAGGGAAACCGAGUCUUAACUGGGCGUUAAGUUGCAGGGUAUAGACCCGAAACCCGGUGAUCUAGCCAUGGGCAGGUUGAAGGUUGGGUAACACUAACUGGAGGACCGAACCGACUAAUGUUGAAAAAUUAGCGGAUGACUUGUGGCUGGGGGUGAAAGGCCAAUCAAACCGGGAGAUAGCUGGUUCUCCCCGAAAGCUAUUUAGGUAGCGCCUCGUGAACUCAUCUUCGGGGGUAGAGCACUGUUUCGGCUAGGGGGUCAUCCCGACUUACCAACCCGAUGCAAACUGCGAAUACCGAAGAAUGUUAUCACGGGAGACACACGGCGGGUGCUAACGUCCGUCGUGAAGAGGGAAACAACCCAGACCGCCAGCUAAGGUCCCAAAGUCAUGGUUAAGUGGGAAACGAUGUGGGAAGGCACAGACAGCCAGGAUGUUGGCUUAGAAGCAGCCAUCAUUUAAAGAAAGCGUAAUAGCUCACUGGUCGAGUCGGCCUGCGCGGAAGAUGUAACGGGGCUAAACCAUGCACCGAAGCUGCGGCAGCGACACUAUGUGUUGUUGGGUAGGGGAGCGUUCUGUAAGCCGUUGAAGGUGUAUCGUGAGGUAUGCUGGAGGUAUCAGAAGUGCGAAUGCUGACAUAAGUAACGAUAAUGCGGGUGAAAAACCCGCACGCCGGAAGACCAAGGGUUCCUGUCCAACGUUAAUCGGGGCAGGGUGAGUCGACCCCUAAGGCGAGGCCGAAAGGCGUAGUCGAUGGGAAACAGGUUAAUAUUCCUGUACUUGGUGUUACUGCGAAGGGGGGACGGAGAAGGCUAUGUUAGCCGGGCGACGGUUGUCCCGGUUUAAGCAUGUAGGCGGAGGUUCCAGGUAAAUCCGGUACCUUUUUAACGCUGAGGUGUGAUGACGAGGCACUACGGUGCUGAAGUAACAAAUGCCCUGCUUCCAGGAAAAGCCUCUAAGCAUCAGGUAACACAAAAUCGUACCCCAAACCGACACAGGUGGUCAGGUAGAGAAUACCAAGGCGCUUGAGAGAACUCGGGUGAAGGAACUAGGCAAAAUGGUGCCGUAACUUCGGGAGAAGGCACGCUGAUAUGUAGGUGAAGUGAUUUACUCAUGGAGCUGAAAUCAGUCGAAGAUACCAGCUGGCUGCAACUGUUUAUUAAAAACACAGCACUGUGCAAACACGAAAGUGGACGUAUACGGUGUGACGCCUGCCCGGUGCCGGAAGGUUAAUUGAUGGGGUUAUCCGUAAGGAGAAGCUCUUGAUCGAAGCCCCGGUAAACGGCGGCCGUAACUAUAACGGUCCUAAGGUAGCGAAAUUCCUUGUCGGGUAAGUUCCGACCUGCACGAAUGGCGUAAUGAUGGCCAGGCUGUCUCCACCCGAGACUCAGUGAAAUUGAACUCGCUGUGAAGAUGCAGUGUACCCGCGGCAAGACGGAAAGACCCCGUGAACCUUUACUAUAGCUUGACACUGAACACUGGUCCUUGAUGUGUAGGAUAGGUGGGAGGCUUUGAAGUGUGGACGCCAGUCUGCAUGGAGCCAUCCUUGAAAUACCACCCUUUAAUGGCUGGUGUUCUAACGUGGACCCGUUACCCGGGUUGCGGACAGUGUCUGGUGGGUAGUUUGACUGGGGCGGUCUCCUCCUAAAGAGUAACGGAGGAGCACGAAGGUUAGCUAAUCCUGGUCGGACAUCAGGAGGUUAGUGCAAAGGCAUAAGCUAGCUUGACUGCGAGAGUGACGGCUCGAGCAGGUGCGAAAGCAGGUCUUAGUGAUCCGGUGGUUCUGAAUGGAAGGGCCAUCGCUCAACGGAUAAAAGGUACUCCGGGGAUAACAGGCUGAUACCGCCCAAGAGUUCAUAUCGACGGCGGUGUUUGGCACCUCGAUGUCGGCUCAUCACAUCCUGGGGCUGAAGUAGGUCCCAAGGGUAUGGCUGUUCGCCAUUUAAAGUGGUACGCGAGCUGGGUUUAGAACGUCGUGAGACAGUUCGGUCCCUAUCUGCCGUGGGCGCUGGAGAAUUGAGGGGGGCUGCUCCUAGUACGAGAGGACCGGAGUGGACGCAUCACUGGUGUUCGGGUUGUCAUGCCAAUGGCAUUGCCCGGUAGCUAAAUGCGGAAGAGAUAAGUGCUGAAAGCAUCUAAGCACGAAACUUGCCCCGAGAUGAGUUCUCCCUGAGACUUUAAGUCUCCUGAAGGAACGUUAAAGACGAUGACGUUGAUAGGUCGGGUGUGUAAGUGUAGCGAUACAUUGAGCUAACCGAUACUAAUGAACCGUGAGGCUUAACCUUACAACGCCGAAG
rnacentral:rRNA from 1 species